AGCGCGGCUGGAACCCGGCCGACAGAAGAUGGCGGAUGAGCAGCGUGCAGGGUUUUCUCCCUGUGGCUCACUCUCUCUUACUGUGCUGGGCGGUUGCUUCCUCUCCUGCUGCCCUUGGGAGUCAGACUCCAGGUUCUUCAGCCUGUGGCCCCUGGGGCUCUCGGGCCUUGGAGGACUGACUAGGAGCACACGGUGGGCCUCUCUGGUUUGGGGGCCUGGGACGUGGCGGAGCCCUGCAGCUUCUGUGCGGCCUGUUCUGGGCGUCGCGUUGAAACGCCAGCCAGUUCCCCAACAGAAAGAGCAUACGGGAGAGAUGAAGCAGUCCACUCCAAGAACAUUCUCAUCCUACGGAUUACGAGUCCCCCUGGGAUUACAGGAGUGUUGAAGAAAUGUUGUGACACAUCAGAACACCGCGAAAUACAUGGACACUUUCAAAUCAUGGAAGACUCAAGGGUCAGGAGGGCAUCUUUCUCGGCUCUUCACUGUGAGAACCUUGUGGGAUUCCUGAAGAUGAAACCAUGAACGCGAGGGAGUCUUGCUAAAACUGCAGCAUUCGAGAGGUUUUCACUCAUGCUGGCUCACACUUGUCCUCUAGCAAUUCAUCAAAAUUACCACGUAAGUGUUUCAACAGUUUAUGGCUCAGGUGGCCUCAGCUGUGAUGCUCCAAAUUUGCCUGUUUCUCCAGAUGCAGGGUAGCAGUUUGCUGUUUCUCCUGAGUUCUUUGAUGGAUUCAAGAAAAGUCAUGAUUUUCAGUUUGUUCUGAUUUUUUCUUGUGAGGGCAAAGUAAUGACUAAGCUUUAAUGUGUUUCAGCUAAAACUACAUGUAUUUUAAUAGCAAAAUGAGAUAUAAUUCACAUGUCAUAAAAGUCACCAUUUUUGGGUGCACAACUCAUUGGAUUUUAGUAUAUUCCAGGGUUAUGCAAGAAUAAAUAUUCUCUAAUUUUGGAACAUAUUUAUCUACUCAGAAAGAAACUUUGUGCUCAUUAACAGUUACUUAAUAUUCUCUCUCCCCUAACCUAUGGUAACUACUAGUCGACUUGCUAUAGAUUAGGUUACUUUGGAUAUUUCAUAUAUGUUGAAUCAUAAAAUAUGUGCCUUGGCUUCUUUCACUUACCGUAAUAUUUACAAAAUUCAUUCAUCUUACAAAGUACUUCAUUCUAUUUUUGAUUUUAUGGGUUAAUAAUAUUCUACUGUCUGGCUAUAUACAUGUAUGAAUAAUGUGGCAACAUUUUGUCCAUACACUCAUCAUGUGAUUAGUAUUUGCUUUGUUGUUGUUGUGUGUUUUUUAUUUUUCAGUUAUUAUGAAUAAUGAUUAUGAAUUCAGUUAUUAUGAAUAACUACAAUAAAUAGUUAUGCAUAAGUUUUUGUGAGGC
rnacentral:lncRNA from 1 species